rnacentral:tRNA from 1 species
UUCUUUGUAGCUCAAUGGUAGAGCAAAUGGCUGUUAACCAUUAGGUUGUAGGUUCGAGUCCUGUCAAAGAAG